rnacentral:rRNA from 1 species
GACGAACGCUGGCGGCGUGCCUAAUACAUGCAAGUAGAACGCUGAAGGAGGAGCUUGCUUCUCUGGAUGAGUUGCGAACGGGUGAGUAACGCGUAGGUAACCUGCCUGGUAGCGGGGGAUAACUAUUGGAAACGAUAGCUAAUACCGCAUAAUAGUAGAUGUUGCAUGACAUUUGCUUAAAAGGUGCAAUUGCAUCACUACCAGAUGGACCUGCGUUGUAUUAGCUAGUUGGUGGGGUAACGGCUCACCAAGGCGACGAUACAUAGCCGACCUGAGAGGGUGAUCGGCCACACUGGGACUGAGACACGGCCCAGACUCCUACGGGAGGCAGCAGUAGGGAAUCUUCGGCAAUGGACGGAAGUCUGACCGAGCAACGCCGCGUGAGUGAAGAAGGUUUUCGGAUCGUAAAGCUCUGUUGUAAGAGAAGAACGAGUGUGAGAGUGGAAAGUUCACACUGCGACGGUAGCUUACCAGAAAGAGACGGCUAACUACGUG